AUUGAACGCUGGCGGCAUGCUUUACACAUGCAAGUCGAACGGUAACAGGCCGCAAGGUGCUGACGAGUGGCGAACGGGUGAGUAAUGCAUCGGAACGUGCCCAGUCGUGGGGGAUAACGCAGCGAAAGCUGCGCUAAUACCGCAUACGAUCUAUGGAUGAAAGCGGGGAACCGUAAGGCCUCGCGCGAUUGGAGCGGCCGAUGUCAGAUUAGGUAGUUGGUGGGGUAAAGGCUCACCAAGCCGACGACCUGUAGCUGGUCUGAUAGGACGAACAGCCACACGGGGACUGAGACACGGCCCAGACACAUACGGGAGGCAGCAGUGGGGAAUUUUGGACAAUGGGAGCAAGCCUGAUCCAGCAAUGCCGCGUGCAGGAAGAAGGCCUUCGGGUUGUAAACUGCUUUUGUACGGAACGAAACGGUCCUGGUUAAUACCUGGGGCUAAUGACGGUACCGUAAGAAUAAGCACCGGCUAACUACGUGCCAGCCGCCGCCGUAAUAC
rnacentral:rRNA from 1 species